GACGAACGCUGGCGGCGUGCUUAACACAUGCAAGUCGAACGGAAAGGCCCCUCUGGGGGUACUCGAGUGGCGAACGGGCGAGUAACACGUGAGUAACCUGCCCUCGCCUUCGGGUUAACUUCAGGAAACUGGGGCUAAUACCGGCCAGGAAUCCUUGCUGCAUGGAUGGGGUUGGAAGGCUUCGGCGGUUUUGGAUGGACUCGCGGCUUAUCAGCUUGUUGGUGGGGUAGUGGCUUACCAAGGCUUUGACGGGUAGCCGGCCUGAGAGGGCGACCGGCCACAUUGGGACUGAGAUACGGCCCAGACUCCUACGGGAGGCAGCAGUGGGGAAUAUUGCACAAUGGGCGGAAGCCUGAUGCAGCAACGCCGCGUGCGGGAUGACGGCCUUCGGGUUGUAAACCGCUUUCAGCAGGGGCGAAGCUUUUGUGACGGUACCUGCAGAAGAAGCACCGGCUAACUACGUG
rnacentral:rRNA from 1 species